GUAGAUUGUAUAUUGUGUCAUCUUGCCUCUAUUCAAUAUUCAAGACAUCAUUUUGAAAUAACCCUGCAUACAUUCCAGCAUCUUGCCCAAGACAACACACCUGUAUACCCAACAGAAGGAUGCAAUGUCACAAUAAUGAUCUGAAUGAAUUUCUCAACAUGACCGACGUCAGAGUGGCGUUCACUAUUUAAGACGGAGACUCCAGUCCAAGCUUCAUCAAACUCAUCCAGCUGUGGACUCGAUCAACUGCUGGGACAAUAAUCAAGUGAAAUCAUGAUGAAGAUACUGGUACUGCUUGGAUGUCUCCUGAGUCUGGCUCUGGCUCUUCCAGUGGACGAAGUGCAUGAGAGAAUUGCUCGUUCUUCCUCUGACUCCAAUUCCAGAGAAAUGGGGCGGUAUCCGUCAUUCUACCCACCGUAUCCCCGGUUCCCCCCACCACCACCACCAACACAGAACCAGGCCGACCUAUGGGCCUUGUUCCUGCAAUUCCUGCUGGCUAACUCCCCCCCAGCCCCGGCUCCAGCCCCGGCUCCGGCCCCCACCCCGGCCCCAGCUCCGACCCCAACCCCCCA
rnacentral:lncRNA from 1 species